rfam:Candidatus Tectomicrobia bacterium RIFCSPLOWO2_12_FTLL_69_37 rifcsplowo2_12_scaffold_48379, whole genome shotgun sequence.
CCCGGUGGCAAUAGCGGCGGGGCCACACCCGUUCCCAUCCCGAACACGGUAGUUAAGCCCGCCUGCGCCUAUGGUACUGCGAUCCUUUUCGUGGGAGAGUGGGUCGCUGCCGGGA